rnacentral:rRNA from 1 species
ACGAACGCUGGCGGCGUGCUUAACACAUGCAAGUCGAACGGAAAGGCCCCUUUGGGGGUCCUCGAGUGGCGAACGGGUGAGUAACACGUGAGUAACCUGCCCUUGACUUCGGGAUAACUUCAGGAAACUGGGGCUAAUACCGGAUAGGAAUCCUUGCUGCAUGGUGGGGGUUGGAAAGCUUCGGCGGUUUUGGAUGGACUCGCGGCUUAUCAGCUUGUUGGUGGGGUAGUGGCUUACCAAGGCUUUGACGGGUAGCCGGCCUGAGAGGGCGACCGGCCACAUUGGGACUGGGAUACGGCCCAGACUCCUACGGGAGGCAGCAGUGGGGAAUAUUGCACAAUGGGCGGAAGCCUGAUGCAGCAACGCCGCGUGCGGGAUGACGGCCUUCGGGUUGUAAACCGCUUUCAGCAGGGGCGAAGCUUGUGGUGACGGUACCUGCAGAAGAAGCACCGGCUAACUACGUG